CCCUACGGAUCUAUACUAGAAUUUGCAUGAUCAUUUAUUCAAGCUCCAUACCGAUGGUUCAUUCACUGCAAAAUUUUGAAUUAUAUCAAAGAACAUUGAUCUUUUCUCCAACUUUUAAUACAAAUCAAGCACAGGCAAUAUGCAUCGCUUGGGUUACUCUUUAAUAGUAAAUUCGAACACAAGUGAUGCAUAUUGCCUGUGCAAUCAAGGUACUUUGCAUGUACAUGUACAUCAGAUAUGUACAUUUCCACUCAAACCACUUAUAUACAAGAAUGGAACCAGCUGAACAUGAGCCAGGUUAUAUAUUAUGUAUUUGCUCUCCUACCCCUUUGAUUCAGUACUGUGUAAGGAAAUAUACUAUUGAGUAUAUAUAUAUUUUAAAAAGAAUAACAAAGAACAACAAUUUUCAUUCAUAUUUCAUUCAACAUAUAUAUACACAGGUUGAUAACAAUGGCUGAUCUGCAUAUAAUGACUGCUAGUUAUUGGCUGGUAUGCAGUGAAAGGGAGCUAAAAAGGAGUAAAAAGUUCAUAUCAGCCAGGUAGUGUGGCUUAAAUAAACCAGUGUUAAGGAAUAUCCAGUAAUGGCAUGACAUCAUGAGAGUUUGGCAUACCGACAUUCAGAUGAUUAAUGAUGAAACUGAAGACCUCAGGUGAAAGGCAUGGAAAAUGAUCCUGUUCCCAUAUACCUGAAAAAGAGGAGGGAUGCCACAAUAUUGAUAAUAGACUUUUGUCAAUUUGAGAAGCAAAGAUGUAAAAAAACAAAAAUAAUAAUGCUGAAAUUAUAAUUCAUGUAUUUGUUAAAAAUACUGUUCACUGUACAUACAUGUAUAUUUUUUUUUAACUUAUUUGGAAAUACAUGAAGUAAUUCAUAUUAAAACUGUGAAUGUA